rnacentral:rRNA from 1 species
GUGUGUAAAGGUAGUGCCAAGAAAAGCGGUGAUCAUGAUGAAAAUCAAUUCCCGGUACCCGAAACCGACACAGGUGGGCAAGUAGAGAAUACUAAGGGGCGCGAGGUAACUCUCUCCAAGGAACUCGGCAAAAUGACCCCGUAACUUAGGGAGAAGGGGUGCCACCGAGAGGUGGUCGCAGUGAAGAGGCCCAGGCGACUGUUUAGCAAAAACAUAGGUCUCUGCAAACUCGAAAGAGGAGGUAUAGGGGCUGACGCCUGCCCAGUGCCGGAAGGUUAAAGAAGUUGGUCAGUCUUAGGAUGAAGCUAGCGACUGAAGCCCCGGUGAACGGCGGCCGUAACUAUAACGGUCCUAAGGUAGCGAAAUUCCUUGUCGGGUAAGUUCCGACCCGCACGAAAGGCGUAACGAUCUGGGCGCUGUCUCGGAGAGAGGCUCGGCGAAAUAGGAUUGUCUGUGAAGAUACGGACUACCUGCAUUUGGACAGAAAGACCCUAUGAAGCUUUACUAUAGCUUGGAAUUGUGUUCGGGCUUCCUGUGCGCAGGAUAGGUGGGAGGCGUAGAAGGUAUUCUUGUGGGGAUACUGGAGGCAACGGUGAGAUACCACUCUCAGGAGGCUAGAAUUCUAACUUAAUUAAGGACAGUUUCAGGUGGGUAGUUUGACUGGGGCGGUCGCCUCCAAAAAGGUAACGGAGGCGUACAAAGGUUCCCUCAGACUGGUUGGAAAUCAGUCGCAGAGUGCAAAGGCAGAAGGGAGCUUGACUGCGAGAAGUACAGUUCGAGCAGGGUGGAAACACGGUCUUAGUGAUCCGACGGUGCUGUGUGGAAGGGCCGUCGUUCAACGGAUAAAAGUUACUCUAGGAUAACAGGCUGAUCUCCCCCAAGAGUUCACAUCGACGGGGAGGUUUGGCACCUCGAUGUCGGCUCAUCGCAACCUGGGGCGGAAGUACGUCCCAAGGGUUGGGCUGUUCGCCCAUUAAAGCGGUACGUGAGCUGGGUUCAGAACGUCGUGAGACAGUUCGGUCCAUAUCCGAUGUAGGCGUGAGAAUAUUGAGAGGAGCCUUCCUUAGUACGAGAGGACCGGGAAGGACGCACCGCUGGUGUACCUGUUAUGAUGCCAAUUGUAAACGCAGGGUAGCCAAGUGCGGAGAGGAUAACCGCUGAAAGCAUCUAAGUGGGAAGCCCACCUCAAGAUGAGUAUUCUGGUGUAAGGUCACGGGAAGACGACCCGUAAAUAGGCACGAGGUGGAAGUGCAGAGAUGUAUGAAGCCGAAGUGUACUAAUAGACCGUCGGCUUGACC